GGGGGUAUAGUUUAACCCGGCUAAGAAUUAGCGGCUCCAAACCGCUGGAUGUAGGUUCAAAUCCUACUACCCCCA
rnacentral:tRNA from 1 species